rnacentral:tRNA from 1 species
GGGGAUAUGGCGAAAUCGGUAGACGCUACGGACUUGAAUAUGAAAAAUGGAAGAAUUUUUGUGAAUCAAUUUCAAGUUGAAAAAGGAAUCAAAUAUUCAUUCAUCAACUCAUUCACUCCAUAGUCUGAUAGAUCUUUGAAAGAACUGAUUAAUCGGACGAGAAUAAAGAUAGAGUCCCAUUCUACAUGUCAAUACUGACAACAAUGAAAUUUAUAGUAAGAGGAAAAUCCGUCGACUUUAAAAAUCGUGAGGGUUCAAGUCCCUCUAUCCCCA